CCGCACGCCAGGUAGCGUCCGUCGGCGGACGCGGCGAUUGCCGUGCUGGCGACACAGCCGUGAUCCACGAACCUGCAGGCGCAGCGACUGCUACGCACGUCCCACACGUACACCUCGCCGUCCUCUGUGUUAGCAAACACUUUGCUGCCGUCGCCGUUCAUAGCCACGCCCACCACCUCGCCGUUCAGCUUCAUGCUGCUCACCACCUCCUUGGUCUGGGUGCGCACAUUGGACUCGUCAACUUUUAGCCGCUACCUCACAUGAAUUGUCAAAGUGCGACCAGCGCAUACCUUGAGCGUGACCAUGUGCAGAUAUCCUCGAGUUCCUGUCAGCAGCAGAGCGUCCCCCGCAGGGCUCACGCAGAAGUCCUUCACCC